ACCGUUGUAGCUCAGUCGGUUAGAGCGUCACCCUUAUGUGGAUAACUUUUAUGGUGAAGUGCGUGGGUUCGAUUCCCUCCAGCGGUA
rfam:Trichosporon asahii var. asahii CBS 8904 unplaced genomic scaffold scaffold00105, whole genome shotgun sequence.